GAUGAACGCUGGCGGCGUGCCUAAUACAUGCCAGUCGAGCGAACGGACGAGAAGCUUGCUUCUCUGAUGUUAGCGGCGGACGGGUGAGUAACACGUGGAUAACCUACCUAUAAGACUGGGAUAACUUUGGGAAACCGGAGCUAAUACCGGAUAAUAUUUUGAACCGCAUGGUUCAAAAGUGAAAGACGGUCUUGCUGUCACUUAUAGAUGGAUCCGCGCUGCAUUAGCUAGUUGGUAAGGUAACGGCUUACCAAGGCAACGAUGCAUAGCCGACCUGAGAGGGUGAUCGGCCACACAGGAACUGAGACACGGUCCAGACUCCUACGGGAGGCAGCAGUAGGGAAUCUUCCGCAAUGGGCGAAAGCCUGACGGAGCAACGCCGCGUGAGUGAUGAAGGUCUUCGGAUCGUAAAACUCUGUUAUUAGGGAAGAACAUAUGUGUAAGUAACUGUGCACAUCUUGACGGUACCUAAUCAGAAAGCCACGGCUAACUACGU
rnacentral:rRNA from 1 species